AAGGCUACGGCUCAACCGUAGUAAGCUCUUGAAACUGGGAGACUUGAGUGCAGGAGAGGAGAGUGGAAUUCCUAGUGUAGCGGUGAAAUGCGUAGAUAUUAGGAGGAACACCAGUUGCGAAGGCGGCCCUCUGGACUGUAACUGACGCUGAGGCACGAAAGCGUGGGGAGCAAACAGGAUUAGAUACCCUGGUAGUCCACGCUGUAAACGAUGAGUACUAGGUGUCGGGGGUUACCCCC
rnacentral:rRNA from 1 species